rnacentral:rRNA from 1 species
AUAAUUUUUUAUUUUAAAUAAAAUAAUUUUAUUUUAAGUAAAUUUUUUAAUUAAUUUUAAAAUUAUAUAUUUUAAUAAAUCUGUUAAGAAUAUAAAAUUAAUAAUUAAAAAAUAAAAUUAAUAAUUUGUACCUUUUGUAUCAGGGUUUAUUAAAAAUAAAAAACAGUUUUUCUUCCCGAAAAAAAUAAAAAUAAAAAUUAAUGAAAGUUUUUGUUAUAAAAAAAUUUUUAAUUAUUUUUAGAAAUUAAAUGUUUACCGUUAUUUUUUAUAUCUGGUUAAUUUAAAAGUUAAUUUAAUUAAGUUUUUAUUUAAUAAUUUUAAAUUAUUAAAAAAAAUAAAAACAAAAAAUAUUUUUUAUAAGGAAAAUAUUUACUUAGUAAAAUUCCAAAAAUUAAAUAAUUUAAUUUAAUAAUUAAAUUUUAAUAAAUUUGUUUUCCUUUUUUACUUAUUUUUUAUAAAUUAAUUUUUUAAAAUUAUGAAAAGAAAAAAAAUAAUUAUUAAAUAAGUAAUAUAAAUUAAUAUAUAAUUUAUUUAGGAAUUCGGCAAAUUAUAAUUAAUCAAAUGUUUAUCAAAAACAUUUCUUAUUGAAAUAUAUAAUAAGUAUAAUCUACCCGGUGAAAUAUUAAACGGUUGUUUUUAACAUUAAUGUAGCGUAGUAAUUUAUCAUUUAAAUAAUGAAUAUAAUGAAGAUAUUAUGAAUUAAAAUCUGUCUUUAUAUAAUUAAUAUAAAUUUAAUUUUAAGUGAAAAAUCUUAAAUAAUUUUAAAAGACGAGAAGACCCUUUAGAACUUACUUAGAAUUUUAAGUUUACUGGGGAAGUAAAAAUAAAUCAAGAUUUAUUUUUAAAAUUAAAAGAUUUAUCUUAUCAAAAUUUUUAUCCAAUAUAUUGAUUAAAAAGUUACCUUAGGGAUAACAGCAUUAAAAAUAUAAAAAGAUCUUAUUUAUAUAUUUUUUAAUGACCUCGAUGUUGAAUUAAGAUAUUAUUUAAAUGUAUAAAUUAAAAAAUAAUUGGUCUGUUCGACCAUUAAAAUCUUACAUGAUUUGAGUUCAAACCGGUGAAAACUAGGUUGGUUUCUAUCUUUAAAAUUUUAUAAAUUAUUAGUACGAAAGGACCAUAAUAUAAAUAUUAUUAUUAAAU